rnacentral:lncRNA from 1 species
GCGGUCGCUCCUUUCGGAGAACCGCCUCUCACGCCGGAACCGGAAGAAGGCACCCGGGGGGCACAGCGGCCUCAGUCGCGCUCACCGGCGCCAGCGGUGACGACACCGGAAGAAGAGGAGCGAGAACGACUGGAAGCACGACUCGGCGAGCUCCAGGAGGAGUUCUCCGAGCUUCUGAUAGGACUGCGCAGGCGCAAGUCGGUCGCCGACAACGUGCUUCUGGACGCCGACGUUGAGGAAGACGACGACCUGGAUGGUGAACUACGCCGGCCUCCGAGACGCCGCGCCCUGUCGGUCACGGUGCGGCGGGCCAGCCUGCAAGCGGUGGUGUCCACCACGCGGCCACUGACCACCGGCUCAUCGCCUGUCUUCCGGUCGGCGGACACGAGCCCGGGAGCUCCGGAGACGAGGACGUUUCUAGGGGUCACCAUUAGGGACGACUGACUAAGGCCGCACCGCACGGGCCACCCAGCGACUAACGGCCGCUUUCCGAGGGAGACGUGCGCGAACCUGGAGCACGGAGUGCUGGGACACCUGUUCCUGCGGCAGAUACCUCCGUACCGGCUCGUGCCGAACGUGGCGUCGGCGAUCUCCGAUUUCCUAGCCACACGGCUCCGCCUCGGAACGACUCCAGGUCGCGUCGCCGUUGGUGACCCGCGCAGUGACAGCAGCAAGCAGCAGUCGGAGGAAGGCGUCCUUCUGUCCGCCGAACCUCGCUACGGAUACUUCUACUUUGCCGACGACGUUCUGUGCGUCGUGCCGGUGCACUACGUGUCGCCGCCCAGGGGAGGCUUCUUUCUGCCGAGGAGUCUACGCACCAACAAAGGAAGUGACGCUAUCAUCGACUUAUCGCCCGCCAUGCCAUGGACGGUCCACCGCUAGUCAUCCCCGUUUUCCUACCCGACCAUCCUCGUCUAUUGCCGACAGACUAUUGACCGCAGUGGUUAAGGAAGCGCCUGAAACGGAACUCCAGAGAGAAAAAAAUAUAUAAACUUGACAUUGUGGCAGUUUUUUAUGCUGAAGUCUAUGGAAUAUUUACGCCCUUUAGAGCUUUUCUUAUCCUCAAAUAAUAUUCGUCACCUAUAUUGCCUGCAUUUCUAAAUUUGCAUAACUCUGCGCGCCCGGAACAUUCAGGUCAUGAACAGCAUGCCCGUAUCAGCGUGACACAGCGUUCCCGACAGGAAUGUAGCUAGCGCCGACAUUUAAAGACAGAAAAUGCAUGCAACAGGACGUGUAAUGUGUUAGGACAAGAUGAGCCUCAAGAACGUGUAUGAAUACUUGGAGCGUAUGGAUGGAAAGUAGGUGUACUUCUACGUACCUGCUUGCUGGCCAGAGUUACGACACCCUAUAAUAUGACAACUAUAGACGGGAUACUGACACGACUACCGUGGCUAUGUGCAAUCGCAAGUGUAACUUACGAACUUACGUAAGAGAAGUUUUGUCAAAACGGGCGCUGAAGUUUUUGUGCUGUCAAUGCGAAGUAUGCGCGUCGCUGUAAUACGACACAGGAAAGCAGGCAGCUUAGCUGAAAAUGUUAGAUUGUCUAUGGCGAAGUAAUAGUGAUUGUUGCAAUAUUACGCGAGGAAUCAGGCAGUAUCCCUGAAGGUUGCGCGAAGUGCUAUCUCAUAUUUUGUAAUUUGAAAUUCUACGCACCAGCGUUGUGAACCUCGAUGUAAUAUGUAACCGCUUGUGGUCAACCGCAGCUGUCGCCAGUAGAUGCCAGGACAAGAAGGACAGACUAUUGACCGCAGUGGUUAAGGAAGCGCCUGAAACGGAACUCCAGAGAGAAAAAAAUAUAUAAACUUGACAUUGUGGCAGUUUUUUAUGCUGAAGUCUAUGGAAUAUUUGCGCCCUUUAGAGCUUUUCUUAUCCUCAAAUAAUAUUCGUCACCUAUAUUGCCUGUAUUUCUAAAUUUGCAUAACUCUGCGCGCCCGGAACAUUCAGGUCAUGAACAGCAUGCCCGUAUCAGCGUGACACAGCGUUCCUGACAGGAAUGUAGCUAGCGCCGACAUUUAAAGACAAAAAAUGCAUG